ACUACAGCCACUACUACAAGACCAUUGAGGACCUGCAGGACAAGAUUCUUGGUGCCACCAUUGAGAAAUCCAGGACUGUCCUGCAGAUUGGCAACGUCCAUCUGGCUACAGAUG
ensembl:miRNA